rnacentral:lncRNA from 1 species
GGCGGGGAAGGAUGGUUUGUGCUGCUUGGGAGGUGGUAGGACGCCCUGCAGCAACUGAGAUGCGCCCCAAAGAGAGGACUUCUUUCAGACAGACAUGAAGGAAUGCAGGCAUGCAUGAAAGAAGGGAUCUUAAGGAGGGCAAAAAAAAAGUUUCAUGGCUUGGUAAAAGAGGAUAAGAAAAUAAUGAAUUCAAAUACAAAGGAAAGGACAAUUUAAUCUCUGCAUGACACUUAGG